GUCAGGGUUUAUCAUCAUUCCUGUGGGUUUAGUGACACUGUUAAUCAUUGUUGUGGUGAUCAUCAGAUGGAAGAAAAUUAAAGAAAACAAAACACAAAGUGGCAACAACACGGGACUGAGCUUAAACCCUG